UGAGUUGCUAGACAUCGAGGUGAAGAUGGAGGAGGAAGAUAAGUCAUUGCUACUGCUAUGCUCGCUGCCCCCUCUUAUGAUCCAUUGGUGACGACGCUGCUCUAUGGCAAGGAGACCUUGGAGUAUGAAGAAUGGUCUCGGUGUUACGGUCCAAUGAACAGCAAGAGAAGUUGACCAAGGAAGGUGCUCCCUAGGAGGGCUUGGCCAUGGGGG
rnacentral:lncRNA from 1 species